UACGUAGGGCGCAAGCGUUGUCCGGAAUUAUUGGGCGUAAAGAGCUCGUAGGCGGUCUGUUACGUCCGCUGUGAAAACCCAGGGCUUAACCCUGGGCUUGCAGUGGAUACGGGCAGACUAGAGGCAGGUAGGGGAGAUCGGAAUUCCUGGUGUAGCGGUGAAAUGCGCAGAUAUCAGGAGGAACACCGGUGGCGAAGGCGGAUCUCUGGGCCAUUACUGACGCUGAGGAGCGAAAGCGUGGGGAGCGAACAGG
rnacentral:rRNA from 1 species